ACGGAAGGCAGCAGUAGGGAAUAUUGCACAAUGGGGGAAACCCUGAUGCAGCAACGCCACGUGUGGGAAGAAGCAUUUCGGUGUGUAAACCACUGUCUUGAGGGAAUAAUGCUUAAUUUCGGUUAAGUUGAAUGUACCUCGAAAGGAAGCACCGGCAAACUUCGUGCCAGCAGCCGCGGUAAUACGAGGGGUGCAAGCGGUGUUCGGAAUCACUGGGCGUAAAGGGAGCGCAGGCGGAGAUGCAAGCAGUCUGUACAAUACCGGGGCCCAACCCCGGACCUGCAGACUGGACUGUUUCUCUUGGAUAGUUCAGGGGCAAGCGGAAUUCCUGGUGUAGCGGUGGAAUGCGUGAAGAUCAGGAAGAACACCGAUGGCGAAGGCAGCUCGCUGGGGACUUAUCGACGCUCAUGCUCGAAGGUGCGGGUAGCAAACAGGAUUAGAUACCCUGGUA
rnacentral:rRNA from 1 species